GGAUAAAUUUGCUGGUGGCAUUUUUCCUGCUGUGCAAAUCGGAGCCUUUAUUAACGCCAAGGCGAAACAAUUUCCGUCUGAGGGACAAAGACGAAGCCGCCUGAUGCGUGAAAGUGAACCAUCAAUAAAUUCGUCGCUUCCCCUUUUCCCGUCUCACAGCCCAGCUCAUCGCAAACACACAAAAUCAGGUCAAACCCUCACCAGCAGCUGCUUUAUUAUGAACUACUUGUACUUUUCUCAGAGGAUCAUGCAGGUUUCUGAUUGAUUUUCUAUCUUCCAAGCAGCAUCAUAAAAAUCCCACUGCAGCAGAACAUCAGAGUGAACACGGAUCCUUUUAAUUAUUCUGUUAGUGGUAUCAUGACUUGCUAAAACUCCUUGGUGGAAGCUGCAGGAAAGAUUUUUUUUUCUGAAGAUUCAGACAACAUGACCAGGGUAUUUUGUGCAUGGAGGAAUUUUUUGGUGCCUUUAAUGAGGCUUUAGCCAGAAUUGAAGGAAACUCAACAGCCUCUCGAGAAUAAAAAUGCAUUUUUCAGCCAGUUUGGGUCCGUGUAUAUUUUGACAAUUGGAUUUUCCGUUCUGAAACGGGUAUUGAAAAACAAAAAACGAGUGGUUAUUUGAUUUUCGUUUUAAAAUACAAAAAUUUAAAUUGAAAUACAAGGCGUUUUUCCUUUUCAUGAUCAAAAAGGGAUAGACGAAAUUUUAAAAAUGGUUUGAUUUUCAUUUUAUAUUUAGAAUAACAAAAAAGUAAAAUCAGUAAGAGACAGAAACGAAAAAAGGUCAUUUUUUUCAUUUUCUGAGACCAGAAGUGGUCAUCAGCAAGUGUGGAGCCAAACGACAAGAUUCUCAGAGGGCGGAGCCAGAGAGCAGUGAUUGGUCAGACCAUAGAUAAUAUAGAAGACAGCGUGCUAGCGGAUCUAGUCUUCUAUAUAUCUCUUUGAUGAACUUCAUUUCCUAAAACAUCCAGAAUUGAAGCUCAUAUCUUUGGCAGCUGUAAAGUUUCUGCUCCUUCAAAGUUCACAACACAAUGAAUGAAUUCCUAAAACACUCUCAAUGCUGCAGAGCGUUUGAUGCUGAAGCAGUGACCAGUUUUUCUGUUUCUUCUCUGGAGAUGCACAAUGAGGGACGUCUGCAGAGACUGAGAAAGAGUCUCACCACAUCCUGACAUGAGGAAAAAGACUUUAUUGAAGACUACAAUGAGAAAAACUAUCAGACAGCAGACGGCUGCAUUCAAGUCUGUAGCUGCUGAAUUCAUGGAUGAAUCAUCUGGCACUAGAGAAGAAGACCAUCAAACAUCCACGUCAGCUGAUGGAGCUCCAAGAGUCUCACCAAACAAACAACCUACAGAGUGAAGACCUCAAAUCUGAUUGGACGGCCUCCUAUUCAGCCACAUGUGAACAAAUGCCUCUAAGUUGAUUUGUUUUCUAAAAUAAAUCUAGUUUGAGUCCUAA